GAUGAAGAACGUAGCAAAAUGCGAUAAGUAAUGUGAAUUGCAGAAUUCAGUGAAUCAUCGAAUCUUUGAACGCAAAUUGCGCCCGCCAGCAUUCUGGCGGGCAUGCCUGUUCGAGCGUCAUUUCAACCCUCGAGCCCCCCCGGGGGCCUCGGUGUUGGGGGACGGCACACCAGCCGCCCCCGAAAUGCAGUGGCGACCCCGCCGCAGCCUCCCCUGCGUAGUAGCACACACCUCGCACCGGAGCGCGGAGGCGGUCACGCCGUAAAACGCCCAACUUUCUUAGAGUUGACCUCGGAUCAGGUAGGAAUACCCGCUGAACUUAAGCAUAUCAAUAAGCGGAGGA
rnacentral:misc_RNA from 1 species